CCCAUCCUAAUAAAUCUAUUUCUUGCCUAUCACUUUGUCUCUCUCACUGGAUUCCUUCUGCACCAAGGCACAAAGAACCUGAACCUCCGUGAGUCCAGACACAGGCUAUCUCCGGUUUAUCCGAAUUAUGGACUUAGCUUGACCCUGGAG